rnacentral:tRNA from 1 species
GCCUUAGUAGUCUAGUGGUUCAGGAUACGACCCUGUCACGGUCGUGGCGCGGGUUCGAUUCCCGCCUAGGGCG